ensembl:lncRNA
GGGGGGGGGGGGGGGGGGGGGGGGGGGGGGGGGGGGGGGGGGGGGGGGGGGGGGGGGGGGGGGGGGGGGGGGGGGGGGGGGGGGGGGGGGGCCCGCCGAGGGGCGGUGGGGACAGCGGGGACGGCCCGGGGAGCGGCAGCGCCGGGGGCACGGGGAGGGCGCGGGCGGUGCGGGAUGAAUGGGGCAGCGGGCACCCGAGAGCGCCAGCGCGGUCCCUGUCACCUCUAAAGGUCACCAGACACCGCGUCGGCACCGGCAGGAGCCAUCGCUUCGCGCGCUUCGCCGCAUCUCCACAAAAUCACCGCCGCUCUGCUCGUUUUUUUUUUUUUUCCCCCAAGAAGUAGCAACAAGUGUCUGUGACCCAAAAAUGAGGCAAGAACCUCGUUUCUCCGUGGCCUCGCCAUCCCGGCUGCGCUUGUGUAACGCUCCCAGCCUACACGGCUUGCACCUUGGAUUAAAAAACUUGCUAGUGCUGCUCUGCUUUCUGAAUGUGGGCUCUGCUAGUCACCAUCAAGAUUUUGCGGCCGGGAAUUGGUGAUUAAUAAAGCAUUUAACAGCCUGCAAUUCACUGCUAGUCCAUGAUCUUUAAGGGUCUUUCAGAACCCAAACGACUCCGCGAUUCACGGUGUAUCCAUGCUGCUUAUGUAACUUAUUUUCAAGGUCAUGGGUUUGCUUCUAAUUCAUGGAAACCUCCAAAAUGGAAAUUUGAUGGGAAAUUAUGCAGGCGUACUGUAUAUGAAAGUAAAAUACGUGUAGUAGAUAGUAUACGUGCUCUAUGUGUCAUUUAGAUUUUUAUGCUACAAGAAUACAACUCCUUUAUUAAAUAUGAAGGCCACGGAAAUGUGAUUUAAACAAUGCAGAAUUUUUAUUUGACUUCAGACAGACCUUAAAUCUGGCAUAUUUUUAAGUAACUCUCCCCAGAGCCUAAGGGACUCGGGAAGGCAGAGGUGGAAUGGGGACACUGGGGACACGUUAUCUGCCCGAUGUGCCUCCCUGGCUUUGGCAGCGCUCAGAGGUCAGUGGAAGUGUGAAAUCCAUGGCACCUGCCAAGCACCGAGAUAAGGGAGAAGGCAGGACGGCAGGUCCAGUGUCCAGGUCCUGGAGGGUUCAAUGGGCUCGGGAUCCGCAGCCUGUGGUGGCGGAACUGGCUGGAGAAUCCAUCUUCCUGCAAUCUGUGCCAGAGAGAAUUUAUAUUGGUUUGCCAGUGGGUUAACAGCCACACAGGUUAAUGCUUUGUUAGUGCCAUAAACACCUUCACAACCCGAAAGGGGCAGGAGGGGUUUGCCCUCAGAGCUCUCACACCAUCUACCCCCGGUAAGGAACAGCCUGCCCUGCUCUGGGGUGAGCUUUGGGACAGGUGGAGAAUCACACCUGAGCACACACCUGGUGGAUGCCUUCUAUGCUUGCAGAGCUCUUUGCAGGAGUGGAAGCAAAGCAAUAAUCGCUCAUUUUUACUGAGGCCACCCCGCAUAUCGAGGGGGUCACAGCUCGGAGGGUGAGGCCGCGUAAUCGCUCAUUUUUACUGAGGCCACCCCACAUACCGAGGGGGUCACAGCUCGGAGGGUGAGGCCGCCCGCUGACCCCUGUGCUCUGGGGAGGCCACAGCACCAGUCCUGUGCCCAUCCUGGGCCUCUCCGUGAGUCCAGAGAACGGGAUGGAGCUGGGGAAGGGUCUGGAGUCCCAGGAGGGACUGAGGGAGCUGGGAAAGGGGAGAAAAGGAGGCUCAGGGAGACCCUUGUGGCUCUGCACAGCUCCCUGACAGGAGGAGACAGCCGGGAGGGUCGGGCUCUGGGAACAGGGAACAGAGACAGGACAUGACAAAGCCUUAAGCUGCACUAGGACAGGUUUAGGUUGGACAUUAAAAAGGAUUUAUUCCCAGAAAGCGUAAUAAAUACCGGAACGCACUUCCCCGGGAGGUGGUGGAAUCACCGCCCUGGCGGUGUUUAUGCAAAGGUUUGACGGCACUGAGGGCUCCGCUCCGGUUGACACGGCGGGGGGGGGGGGGGGGGGGGGGGGGGGGGGGGGGGGGGGGGGGGGGGGGGGGGGGGGGGGGGGGGGGGGGGGGGGGGGGGGGGGGGGGGGGGGGGGG